GCAGACACAUUCCAGCCAAUCAGCAGCAGACCCUCCCUCCCAGACCCUUCCACCUCCUGGACAGCAUCCAUUUUGAAGCUGCAUUGUUAGUGAGCUGUCCAGGAGGUGGGAGGGUCUGGGAGGGAGGGUCUGCUGCUGAUUGGCUGGAAUGUGUCUG
rnacentral:miRNA from 1 species